UACGGGGGGGGCAAGCGUUGUUCGGAAUUACUGGGCGUAAAGGCUCGUAGGUGGCCAACUAAGUCAGACGUGAAAUCCCCAGGCUCAACUUGGGAACUGCGUCUGAUACUGGAUGGCUUGAAUUCGGGAGAGGGAUGCAGAAUUCCAGGUGUAGCGGUGAAAUGCGUAGAUAUCUGGAGGAAUACCGGUGGCGAAGGCGAGUCCCUGGACACUUCCUGACACUGAGGCACGAAAGCUAGGGGAGCAAACAGG
rnacentral:rRNA from 1 species